rnacentral:lncRNA from 1 species
AUUUCAAGGAAUUGUGAUUUCUUCCUUCUACUAUUUAAUUAACCAUUGAACAAACAUUAAUACUAAUCUAGUGCAGUAAAUAGAGUAUUAGGCUUGGAGCUAGGAAGACCUGGAUUCGAAUCCUGCCUGAGAUACAAACUAGCUGUUUGACACUGGGCUGGGCACAGCCCCUCUGAACUUCAGUUUCCUUCUCUGUAAAAUGGAGAUAUGAAGAACACAACCCAAAGCUGCGGUGAGGAGGAAAAUGAGAUAACAUGCAGAUAGCACUUUGCAGACCUUACAGAGCUGCCAUCUCUGCUGGUGGUGAGAUGUCUUUAUACCAUCAGAAUGUGUGACACACACAAGUGCAUCAUUCUCAGGGGAUGGUAUCACCUUCUGGACACAUAUCUGGAGACACCAUAGAGCACCUUUAUUCCUACGGUUAAGGUGUUGUCCUGUCUUAUUGUGUUCUUAAGAGGCCUGGAGAACAACGAACUUCCAAGGAGCUGGACCAAGAAAUGGGACAGCACCCAUCCAGUUUUAAACUGGACCAAGAUACAAGCACAGGAAAUAUACAUGAAGACCAGAGGAACAAAUUAUUUCAAAUAGCAAGUAUGACCCUACCCACGUGGAAGGAUAGAGACUACAGUCUGGAGAAGAUAUGCUUUCUGAGAACAUCUGCUUCCUAUCAGGGACAAACUUGUCUUCUUGAUGCCACUUGAAUGAUGAAGAAUCUCUGUUGUGCUCAUGCCAUAGCUGAUAUGUGUGUGUGUGUGUGUGUGUGUGUGUGUAUCUCCACCUAUGAUGUUUUCUAAUAUACACACAUAUGAAAUAAAUAAAGAUUAUUUUGGGGGGCA